rnacentral:rRNA from 1 species
CCUACGGGGGGCAGCAGUGAGGAAUAUUGGUCAAUGGUCGGGAGACUGAACCAGCCAAGCCGCGUGCGGGAUGAAGGUACAGAGUAUCGUAAACCUCUUUUGUCAGGGAACAAAGGUGGGGACGUGUCCCCGGAUGAGUGUACCUGAAGAAAAAGCAUCGGCUAACUCCGUGCCAGCAGCCGCGGUAAUACGGAGGAUGCGAGCGUUAUCCGGAUUUAUUGGGUUUAAAGGGUGCGCAGGCGGUCUGUUAAGUCAGCGGUCAAAGCCCGGGGCUCAACCCCGGCCCGCCGUUGAAACUGGCAGUCGCGAGUUGGAGAGAAGUAUGCGGAAUGCGCGGUGUAGCGGUGAAAUGCAGAGAUAUCGCGCAGAACUCCGAUUGCGAAGGCAGCAUGCCGGCUCCACACUGACGCUGAGGCACGAAAGCGUGGGUAUCGAACAGGAUUAGAUACCCCAGUAGUC